rnacentral:rRNA from 1 species
CCUACGGGCGACAGCAGUGAGGAAUAUUGGUCAAUGGACGAGAGUCUGAACCAGCCAAGUAGCGUGGAGGAUGACUGCCCUAUGGGUUGUAAACUUCUUUUAUAUGGGAAUAAAAUGUUCCACGUGUGGGAUUUUGUAUGUACCAUAUGAAUAAGGAUCGGCUAACUCCGUGCCAGCAGCCGCGGUAAUACGGAGGAUCCGAGCGUUAUCCGGAUUUAUUGGGUUUAACGGGAGCGUAGGUGGAUUGUUAAGUCAGUUGUGAAAGUUUGCGGCUCAACCGUAAAAUUGCAGUUGAAACUGGCAGUCUUGAGUACAGUAGAGGUGGGCGGAAUUCGUGGUGUAGCGGUGAAAUGCUUAGAUAUCACGAAGAACUCCGAUUGCGAAGGCAGUUCACUGGACUGCAACUGACACUGAGGCUCGAAAGUGUGGGUAUCAAACAGGAUUAGAUACCCCAGUAGUC